rnacentral:rRNA from 1 species
GACGAACGCUGGCGGCGUGCUUAACACAUGCAAGUGGGGCGACGAACCAGGCUUCGGCCUGGGGCAAAGCCGCGAACGGGUGAGUAACACGUGGGUAACCUGCCUCGAAGACCGGGACAACCCGAGGAAACUCGGGCUAAUACCGGAUGUGGUCGCUCUUCAUAAGGAGAGCGAGCGAAGGGAGCUUCGGCCCCCGCUUCGAGCUGGGCACGCGGCCCAUUAGCUUGUUGGUGAGGUAACGGCGCACCAAGGCUGCGAUGGGUAGCUGGUCUGAGAGGACGAUCAGCCACACUGGGACUGAGACACGGCCCAGACUCUACGGGAGGCAGCAGUGGGGAAUCUUGCGCAAUGCGCGAAAGCGUGACGCAGCAACGCCGCGUGGGGGAAGAAGGCCUUCGGGUUGUAACCCCUUUCAGGAGGGACGAAGCUUCGGGAGUGAAUAGCUCUCCGGAGUGACGGUACCUCCACAAGAAGCCCCGGCUAACUACGUGCCAGCCGCCGCCGUAACAC